rnacentral:rRNA from 1 species
UGGGGGAUAUUGCACAAUGGGCGAAAGCCUGAUGCAGCGACGCCGCGUGGGGGAUGAAGGCCUUCGGGUUGUAAACUUCUUUUGCUCUGAACAAGGCAUGCCUUUGGGGUGUGUUGAGUGUAGGGGUUGAUUAGCGCCGGCUAACUACGUGCCAGCAGCCGCGGUAAUACGUAGGGCGCGAGCGUUGUCCGGAAUUAUUGGGCGUAAAGGGCUUGUAGGUGGCUGGUUGCGUCUGUCGUGAAAGCUCAUGGCUUAACUGUGGGUUUGCGGUGGGUACGGGCUGGCUUGAGUGCGGUAGGGGAGGCUGGAAUUCCUGGUGUAGCGGUGGAAUGCGCAGAUAUCAGGAGGAAUACCGGUGGCGAAGGCGGGUCUCUAGGCUGUUACUGACGCUGAGGAGCGAAAGCGUGGGGAGCGAACAGG